rnacentral:rRNA from 1 species
AUGGAUACGUGGUCGAUAUGGUGGGCAAGGAGGAAAGUCGUUCAUGAGGAGCAGUUUCAGUCUUCCCUAACCACUUUUUUCAUACAAGGUUAUCUGAAUGACAUCCAGGAAGCCGAGCUAGUCCAUCUCCGGCCAGUUGGCCAGCAGCCAAGAAUGCAGGCUCAUCGUCAGGUCACAUGGAGAGCGCCCCCUGCGGGUUCAGUUAAAAUACAUGUUGAUGGCGCUGUCGGCAGGCAUGGUGACCGCGGGUCUUUUGCUGCUAUUUGUCGUGAUGUUUCAGGUAACUUUCUUGGAGCUUCUGCUGUUACUGUUGCUGAACUUGUUUCGCCGGAGAUUCUGGAGGCCAUGGCAGCGAGGGAGGCACUCGCUUUGGCAAAGGACCUUGCCUGCACCAAGAUUAUUGUGGCCACUGACUGUCUAAAUACUGUAAACCAUCUCAAGACAGAAUACAUGGGAGGGGCCAUAGCGAUUAUCUUUGAGCUGAAGAGAAGCAUGCAGGAUUUUGUGUCCGCUGUUGUUUUGCAUGAGAAGAGGGACUCAAAUUUAGAAGCACAUUCCUUAGCAAAAGCUGUAAUUUCCUUACCUUUGGGUAGGCAUGUUUGGUUGACUGAGAAACCAAACUUAAUCUGUAUCCCUGACAAUAUCAUGAGUUAA